AUGUGAGGGCGAUCUGGCUGUGACAUCUGUCACCCCAUUGAUCGCCAGGGUUGAUUCAGCUGAUCUGGCUGGCUAGGCGGGUGUCCCCUUCCUCCCUCACCGCUCCAUGUGCGUCCCUCCCGAAGCUGCACGCUCAGUGGAAGAGGACGACCAUCCCAGAUAGAAGGAGUAAAAUCAGUAUACUUGGAGGGUAUGAACA